GACGUAGGGCGCGAGCGUUGUCCGGAUUUAUUGGGCGUAAAGAGCUCGUAGGCGGCUUGUUGCGUCGUCCGUGAAAACCUGUGGCUCAACUACAGGCUUGCGGUCGAUACGGGCGGGCUGGAGUUCGGUAGGGGAGACUGGAAUUCCUGGUGUAGCGGUGAAAUGCGCAGAGUAUCAGGAGGAACACCGGUGGCGAAGGCGGAUCUCUGGGCCAUUACUGACGCUGAGGAGCGAAAGCGUGGGGAGCGAACAGG
rnacentral:rRNA from 1 species